AUCAGGAGUGACCUAAGGACCUGCUUAAACAUGCAGAGCCCUGGGCCCAUCCUCAGAGGAUGCACUAAGUCUGGAAUGAGGCCCAGAGGUGUGCUGCCAUGCUCAGAGGUGAUUCCCUCUGUCACGCCCCGGAGAAACAGUGAGGAGCUCUCUGGUCACAGGCCUGGCAGGUGGAGUUCAUGGAGAACCAGAGAACCCUCUGUGUUGCAACAUGACCUGGCUCUCCUCUCUGCCCGCUCUUGGGUCUUGGCACCUGUGGUUUCAGUGGGCACAAAAAGAAGGUGCUGACCCAGCAGAGAAGAAUGAACUGGGAGGUAUUUUGUCAGAUACCAUUUAUCGAACCCCUGGAACUGGAUGCCAGGAAGCUUACAAAAGAAAACAAAGAAUGAUCCUUGACUUCCACAAACUUGGAAACACUCAGUCAACAUAUAUUUAGUGAACAUCUGCUGUAUACCCAGAUCCAGAGGUGCAUCAAGAACAAUGGAAUGUACAAGGCAGCAGCCAGUUAGGCCUUUGACCAAAUGUCCAGACACUGAACACUUUCUGAGUUUACAGAUUUAAUCUGAGGAUAUUUCCUGGAGAUCAGUCUGAACUGGAAGAUGCAGGGUGGAGGACAUCUGGGCAAGUGUAGCUGGAGUUACUUCCCAAAGGAAAUUUUAAUCCAACCCCUGCCUUCAUGAGGGCUGUAGGAUACAGGAACUGACCUCGUGGGUCAUGCAAGGGCAUUUUCUAGCAUGUGAGAAGAAGCUCAAUCUGGGAUGAGACCCAUGUUCCUGAGACCUCUAUAAUGAGCACCCUGGGAUUCCCACACCUCACUGGGACCUCCCUGAUUGCCUGGGGCUGGUUCCUAUCAAGUUGGGGAGAUCACUGAUGGUGCCCCCCCAACC